rnacentral:rRNA from 1 species
AACGCGAAGAACCUUACCUGGGCUCGAACGGCUUAAGAACAACGGUAGAAAUACUGUCUUCCCGCAAGGGACUUGAGUCGAGGUGCUGCAUGGCUGUCGUCAGCUCGUGCCGUGAGGUGUUGGGUUAAGUCCCGCAACGAGCGCAACCCUUACUCAUAGUUGCUACCCGCAAGGGAGAACUCUAUGAGGACUGCUCCGGAUAACGGAGAGGAAGGUGGGGAUGAGGUCAAGUCAGCAUGGCCUUUAUGUCCAGGGCUACACACGUGUUACAAUGCGCGCCACAAAGCGUCGCGAACCCGCGAGGGGGAGCUAAUCGCAAAAAAGCGCGCUCAGUUCGGAUUGCAGUCUGCAACUCGACUGCAUGAAGCCGGAAUCGCUAGUAAUGGCGCAUCAGAACGGCGCCGUGAAUACGUUCCCGGGCCUUGUACACACCGUGUCGA